rnacentral:lncRNA from 1 species
GUCUCAUUGGGGGGUUCUGAUCCCGCUUACUGUUUGGUCAGAUUCCUGUAUCCCGCUUAUACUAUGUACCUAAGCAAUUCUCAUUUUUUUUGUAAUUUCCCAUGUCCUGCUAGACCUUAAUUCCGUUUUCACAGCACAAUAAUUUAACUUUCCCGUGUCACGCUUACGAAAAAUCAGCAAAUCCCCCGUCACGCUUAGACCCCAAUGAGACCCACUUUGAAUGCAGAAAUGGUUAAAGAAAUCUGAGUCAUCUAUUGAAAUGCUGCCAAUUCAUAACCUAAUUGAGCGCUGGCAAAAAAUCAGAAAUUUUAAAUUCCGUACAAGUGUUUAAUCUGUAUUGUAUUUCUGUUUUCUGUCAUAACGCUUAUAAUCUUACUUUAAAAACU